GUGCCCUCACAGUAGUCUCAGGGGUUGCCUGGCACUGUACUGAGUUCUGGACAAGUCUUCGCAACAACUCCUCAAGGCUGGGAUUCUUAGCCACAUUUUACUAAUUUAUGAUUCCAUAGGAAAAAUGGAUAGCAUUGUACAGCAUUUGCAUUUGUACAGCAUUUAAGGCAACGAGCUUAAAGCCACUGAUGAGAAAACAGGAAUCGAAUAUGAACAGGAAAGAGAUAAAUGCAGAGAGCACCUGCAGGUAUAUUGCUCAUUUUCCUGCAGAGAACCAGGCUUGUAGUUCCCUGUUCCGGGACGGACAGAUACCAAGGCACACAUCUAUCCAUCUGCUGAAGCAGUGGCACAUGAGUUCCAAAAAGAAUCCUUACUGAGAAUGGAUGGGCUGGUGGAAAGAAAAGGAGGGGCCGGCUUCUUCCACUCACCUUGGUGCAGGGAAUAUAUUGAAGAUAGUGGAUCCACUGAUUGCCUUGUAAACAGCACAUUCUGGAACCUUGAACCUUGAACAGAUUUCCCCUUCCUCUCUUACGUUUACAGAUUCAAAGCUUACCAUCUCUUCCCCUACCUCGUCUCAGAAUAGGGCUCUCUAAAGAGUAAUACCAGAUGGAGAUGAGCGGUGGACUAUUCUACCUGAGGCAGAGGAGGAAAGGCAGCUCCCUGAAGGGAGAUGGAAGGAAAGGGUGAUGAGGGAAAGGGGAGGAAAUCACAAAGGUUUAAGAAAUUGCCCAAGCAGAGGGGAAAGAUGAACGGCUAGGAUGUGGGAGAGACCUGAAGAAAGCCACUAUGAAGUAGUCUGAGGUGAAAUGAACACCUUCAAGCUGAGGAUGAAUAGAAAGAGGACAAGCCACUCAAAUGGCCCCACUUUCAUUCUGUUCAAUUUAGAAUUAGAACUCAAUCCAAAGUAAAAUAUUAUUUUGCACACUUUUGUGCUGUUAUGGGCUGAAUUGUGUUUCCAAAAAAAUCCUAUGUGGAAUCCCUAAUCCCCAGUACCUCAGAAUGUAAGCAUAUUUGGAGAUAAGAUCUUUGAAGAGAUAAUGGAGUUAAAAUGAGGACUUUAGGAUGGGCCCUAAUCCAAUAGGACCAGAGAUUUGACACAGACAUACGUACACACGGAGGAAAGAACAUUUGAAGACAUAAAGAAAAGAAUCAUUUGCAAGUCAAGGAGAGGGUCUUCAGAAGAAACCAAUCCUGAUCUUAGACUCCUCGCCUCCAGAAAUCUAAGGAAAUCAAUUUUUGUUUAAAUUACUCAGACUGUAUCCCUUCUCCGCCUUUUGACUGAGAUCAAGCGCAUUCAGACAGCGGCACUCCGUGAUGGCAGCCCUAAAAAUCUCUGAUGUGCUUUUGUCUAAGUAACAGUAAUACCAUUUAAUGAUGGACACUACUGCACCAUUGUUCAGUUUUUGUUGCCUGAUUCUGGAAUUUAACAAACUUAGGGCUGCCAUGUUCAAGUAUUGGGAUUGGUGCAAAGUUUGCAAGGAUGAACAUUCUGUUUCCUGUACUCUCAAGAGGCUCACACUCUCACUGGGCACACACAUGUGUAAAAACAUAAAAUUAGGUGGAAACUUGGUCAGGGCUUUAUGAACAGAGUGCGUAAGAGGCCCAAAGAAGGAAUGACAUCCUAGCCUUUCCUUUGGGGAAGACUCUGCGACAUUGUCUGAUAGAGAAAGCUUUGAGAUAA